CCUACGGGUGGCAGCAGUCGAGAAUCAUUCACAAUGGGGGAAACCCUGAUGGUGCGACGCCGCGUGGGGGAAUGAAGGUCUUCGGAUUGUAAACCCCUGUCAUGUGGGAGCAAAUUAAAAAGAUAGUACCACAAGAGGAAGAGACGGCUAACUCUGUGCCAGCAGCCGCGGUAAUACCGAGGUCUCAAGCGUUGUUCGGAAUCACUGGGCGUAAAGCGUGCGUAGGCUGUUUCGUAAGUCGUGUGUGAAAGGCGCGGGCUCAACCCGCGGACGGCACAUGAUACUGCGAGACUAGAGUAAGGGAGGGGGAACCGGAAUUCUCGGUGUAGCAGUGAAAUGCGUAGAUAUCGAGAGGAACACUCGUGGCGAAGGCGGGUGCCUGGACAUUAACUGACGCUGAGGCACGAAGGCCAGGGGAGCGAAAGGGAUUAGAUACCCUUGUAGUC
rnacentral:rRNA from 1 species